rnacentral:rRNA from 1 species
GGAGUGCGUUAUGAGACCACGUCGCAGUAUGUUGUUUAUCCCCGGCGCAAAUGCGGCCAUGUUGAGCACCUCGUUUGUCUAUGGUGCGGACGCGGUGAUGUUCGACUUAGAAGACGCCGUAGCGUUAUAUCACAUCCUAGGGCUGAAGUAGGUCCCAAGGGUAUGGCUGUUCGCCAUUUAAAGUGGUACGCGAGCUGGGUUUAGAACGUCGUGAGACAGUUCGGUCCCUAUCUGCCGUGGGCGCUGGAGAACUGAGGGGGGCUGCU